rnacentral:rRNA from 1 species
CCUACGGGUGGCAGCAGUGGGGAAUAUUGCACAAUGGGGGAAACCCUGAUGCAGCGACGCCGCGUGAGUGAAGAAGUAUUUCGGUAUGUAAAGCUCUAUCAGCAGGGAAGAAAAUGACAGUACCUGACCAAGAAGCCCCGGCUAACUACGUGCCAGCAGCCGCGAUAAUACGUAGGGGGCAAGCGUUAUCCGGAUUUACUGGGUGUAAAGGGAGCGCAGAGGGCAGGGCAAGUCUGGAGUGAAAGCCGGGGGCUCAACCCCCGGACUGCUUUUGAAACUGUAAGGCUGGAGUGCAGGAGAGGUAAGCGGAAUUCCUGGUGUAGCGGUGAAAUGCGUAGAUAUCAGGAGGAACACCAGUGGCGAAGGCGGCUUACUGGACUGCAACUGACGUUGAGGCUCGAAAGCGUGGGGAGCAAACAGGAUUAGAUACCCUUGUAGUC